GUGCUUGUUUAGACAGCACAUAUACUAAAACUGGGACAUACGGCGAAGAUUAGCACGGACCCUGCUGCAAGGGUGACACGCAAAUUCAGGACAUGUUCCUUAUUUUU